AAGAAGUAAUAAAUAUAUAUAUACAAUUUCAAGGCCAAAUAGAAACAAAUAAAAAAAAUAUCCCAAAAAUUAAGGAUUAUGUUGAACAAAUAAUUCCGUCACUUAACGCAAUGGAAUUCAAAAAUCAUUUCAGAAUGUUAGCACAGACGUUCGACUUUAUUCUAAAGUAGAUUGCAAAUCAAUUACAACGAUUUGUAAGUGGCAAUGAAAUGAUAUCUCCAGAAAAACAGUUUUUAAUUACUUUGUGGCGUAUGGCAACACCAGAUUCAUAUAGAUCAAUUCAUACUAGAUUUGAUGUUGGGAAAGGUACAUCUGUUAGAGCAGUAUAGAGGGUUAGGCAAGCAUUGUGUAAUCUUGCUUCAAAGUUUAUUCAAUGGCCAACAAGAGAAAAAAUGGAAAAAAUUAAAGAAGGUUUUUCUCGUAUUGGUGCUUUUCCAGGAGUUAUUGGAGCAAUUGAUGGCACCCACAUAAAUAUACCAGCUCCUAAUAUGCAUGCAGAAGCUUACGUUAAUAGGAAAGGACAUCAUUCAAUUCAAGCUCGUUCUUUUUUUCAUUUCUGUUAAUAAAAUAUAAAGUAUAACUUUUUUAAGUUUAUUAACAUAUUUCUGUAUUUCUUUUGGAUAUAGGUAGUCUGUGAUCAUACAUAUCUAUUUACACAUGUGUACGUUGGAAACGUAGGAUCCUUACACGAUGCUCGGGUAUUUAGAUUGUCAGCUGUACAAGACUACGUUUCAGAUGCAUCAAAGUUUCCCAAUGACUGUCACUUAAUAGAAGAUGCUGCUUAUCCCCUGUUAAAACAAUUAAUGGUGCCAUAUGUAGAUAAUGGCCAUCUGACAUGCCGUCAGAAGAAUUACAAUUUCUGCCUUUCGUCUUGUCGCAUGAGUGUUGAAAGAGCUAUUGGCUUGUUAAAAGGACGUUGGAGAAGCCUCCUUCAUCAUUUGGCCAUGGGAUGUGUGGAGCGUAUUUCCUAUCAUUUUUUAGCAUGUUGUGUGUUACAUAACAUAUGUUUAAUGAAAAAAGACGAAAUAGAAGCAGUUAUCGUAAAUAUAGACAUAGCACACCCUCAACCACAAAUACAAGAUAUAGAGCAAAACAGAGGUGAAGCAGAAGCUAAACGAGAUUUUGUGUGCUCUAUACUUCGUAUGAGAGAAGGCGUAUAAAAAAAACUGUGAUAUAUUCAUAUUUUUUAUUUGUGAUUAAAAUUUAAGUAAAUAUAAUCAAUAAGUAUUAUAUAUGUUAUUUUAUCAAUAAAAGUUACAUUAUAAGAUCACA